GUUAACAUGAGUGUGUGAAAGAGCCCACCACCAUCCAUGCAGCUGAGGGGGAUUGAGUUACUGAAGACCAGUAGAGGAGACAGGAGAAAGACAUUUGAGGUCUGUGGCUUUCCACCACUCGGGCACAUAUUUUUGUCUAUAAUUUACGCUGACCGAAGGCCUUCAGGUCUUUCAUAGCCGAUUGAUGACCUGUUCCCACUAAAAGUAUCAACACUGAGAAAGUGUCAAUUCAAGUGUGAAUUUAAGAACUGGAUGGAAGAACAUGUUCCUUUUCAGACCAAGCAAGAUCAGUCAACAAAAUCAGAUGAAAUGAAACAUUAAGUGGAACAGUUCCAAGGCCAAGAAAAGUGAUGCCACGAUCAAAAAUAGUAUCUCAUCACAGAAAUACCUCCUCCUAGACCUCCACAGUUAAAUACAAUCAUAGAGCAGAACAUAUCUAAAAAGAUUCAAAGCAUCUAUUCCUCCUGCCUUCAGAACACUUCAUACUCUGCAUUCCUGAUCAAUUGGAAUAUCCUUUUUUCAAAGCUGUAGAACACUCAAUCUUUGGAACCAGAAACCCAAGAUAAACCUCUCAGGAACUAUGGACUGUCACAAACAUAACUAACUCCUCCAGCAUCUUUCAUGGAGAUAUCAUAGAGGAUUAUAGAAAUACACAUCACACACAUCUAAAAGCUUGAAGUGGCAAGACAACAAGACAUUUGAUGGCACAGGCAACCCAUCCCCAUAAGGAGCACAAAGGAGACCAGGUGACGUGACAGACGGACUUUACUUCUCUCAUCACUGCAAGGCACAGUGCUACAGUGGUGCUUGGAGCAGAGGGAAUGGCCAAGCAGGAUCAGAUAGGAGGCUUCCAACUCCCAGUCCAGAAUGAUAUGGGUUCCACAAACCCAUCACAAACUCAGACUGGGAAUCUUUCCUGCCUUACUUCAUCUUGUGCUGCACACAUCCACCUCUGGUCUGCAUGCAGGCUCAUCUGCCUUUGUGCACAUCUAGCCCAGCUUUACAGGUAGCCCCUAUAAAAGUUUCCCCCUUUCCUCCACCGCAGCUUAUAUAAGCUACUCACUACCUACUAUUUUAGAUUAUACAUAGCAACGUGAUUAGGAAAACAGAAAUAACGAGUUUGGGGAUAAUUUCCUUCCCUCCCCUCUUUGUUUGGUUUUCUGGAACUACUUCAUCCCAAACAUUUGUAAAUAGUGCCUGGAGUUACAUUCCAGGUUUCAGCAGUAAACACUACACUAGCUAAUAUAUAUAGAAGGAUCCCUGUUCUUUCAGUGUAUCCAGGCAACCUCGCAAUACAAAGUUAAAGUGCAGCUAUUUGUUCAAAAAGUGUUUUCACAGCUAUUUCCUCUUUUCCCCUCUUGGCUUUUUCCACCAGGCACUAUUUGUAUUUAUCAUCUGGAGAUUCUGUUCCCUUUUUCCUUUUUAAAACCUUUACAACAGCUUGUUUUAAAAGCAUCAAAGCACAAACAUUUAGCUUAUAAUAUGGUAUGAUUUAAAUUAUGAAGAAUGAAUGAAAAAGAGAUAGUUUCACAGCAGCACCUGAAUACAACUCCUUCACAAUACGCUUUGUUAACUCUGGAAAGCUAAUUUCUAAACACUAAUGAAACCUUAGAAAGAAUAAUAUAGGAAGAGAAAAAUAUUUAGACAAAUAGUAAAGCAACCCAAAAAGGCGUCUUGCUGUAUUCUACCUAAUACUAGUUGAAGUUUUCAGAAUAAAACAACUUCCCUCAGAGAGCAUAGGUCAGGCUGAACUAAAGUUUAUCCAAAGGAAAACGCUAACUUUUAUUACAUCUUCAGCUGAAAGCACUUUGGAGUAAAGCCAACAUCUCAAUAGGAAGUUUUUUUCAUUUCAAAAUGCCAAUUAAAAAUGAAAACUGUU